rnacentral:tRNA from 1 species
GGUCAAGGGGAGAUCCGGCAGUGAGAGACACUGCUCUCCUAAAGCGGGUGCCGCAGGUUCGAAUCCUGCCGGGG